GACGCCGCCGAACUACGACGAGAUUAACAAACUGCGUGACUCACUCAACGAAAAUCUAAUCAACACCGAUCUGAGCUGCUACUCACCGGAGUGUGUAGCCACUGUGCUAAAGAAGUUCUUACGGGAGCUGCCCGAUCCGAUCAUUCCGGUUAUGUUUUACGACAAAUUCGUCGUAGUCUCAAAAAUUACCGAUGAUGCGGUAGCAGUGGAUUUGCAUUUGCAGGAUCCGCCAAUUUACCAACAUGACGCUCAAGUACAUCAUGAUCCAUCUGAUACGAAUAUGCCGAAUGCAGUAUCAGCGGGACUGUAAGAGGAGCCGAUAAUACUGAUACAAGUGUGGUGCCAUAUUCUAAUGCGUCCUCCUUGAGAGAAAAUUGUUCAAGUCGUGUAUAACACGGAAAACCACUUGCGAAUAAUGGAACUGUUGCUCUAUAAGCUGGACUGGAACAAAAAAACUACCAGAAUUUCUGUCUGCUCCUGCGGUACCACCACGGAAAAUCUCCCGAUGUACGGCUGUGUUACAGCAGCAGCAUCAGCAACAAAUACCCGGUUCAUCCAGUGUUUUACCAGCAGCAUAGGCUAUUUCGAAAAACCUGCGAUCACAGCCCCGGCAUCUGUGGUACAACCCAGCAAACAUUAAAUCGCAUAACAAGCGUAUAUAUAACAUCAUAUGCCCUAAAAUUUGGUUGGCAUAUAAUGCGCCUAACUGGCAUAUGCAUGCACAAGUGGAGGCCACCCAGCAAACAUUAAGUCGUAUGAAUAGCUAUAAUUGGAGGCGAUAUACAUACAACCAAGACACAUUUGUAUGAUAUAUGAUGCAGAUAACUAGCAUAUACACACAAAAGUGGAGGCGAUAUACGUAUAUGCCAUAUUUUGUACGCAUAUAAAGCCGUAUAUAACGAUAUGCGAUGCUUUUUGGACUGAUAUGCGAUUUGAUACGACAACGUUACCACUCAAUCCAUCGAUGACAUGGAAAAUCGUGUUUUUGCAUUUUAUGCGAUUUUAGAUAUAUAUGAUCGAUAUUUUGAUUGAUAUUUUAUGCGAUUGUGAUUUGAUACGAAAUUAUAUGUGACUUAUCAUGUGCAAAGUUAUACGAUUUAAUGUUUGCUGGGCAUAUACAUACAUGGCAAAUGCUUAGCGAAUUUGUUUGGAUGAAUAUGCAACUUUGACCGGCUAUAAUAGCGAUUCCCAGCAAACAUUAAAUCCCCAGCAAACAUUAAAUCGUAUAACUUUGCACAUGAUAAGUUGCAUAUAAAUUCGUAUCAAAUCACAAUCGCAUAAAAUAUCAAUCAAAAUAUCGAUCAUAUAUAUCUAAAAUCGCAUAAAAUGCAAAAACACGAUUUUCCAUAUAUUUGAUGAAUUGAGUGGUAACAUUGUCGGAUCAAAACGCAUAUCAGUCCGAAAAGCAUCGUAUAUCGUUGUAUACGGCUUUAUAUGCGUACGAAAUAUGACAUAUACGUAUAUCGCCUCCACUUUUGCGUGUAUAUGCUAGUUAUAUGCAUCAUAUAUCAUCUAAAUGUGUCUUGGUUGUAUGUAUAUCGCCUCCAAUUAAGGGGCUGUCCACAUACCACGUGGACAGAAA